rnacentral:rRNA from 1 species
AUUGAACGCUGGCGGCAUGCUUUACACAUGCAAGUCGAACGGCAGCGCGGGCUUCGGCCUGGCGGCGAGUGGCGAACGGGUGAGUAAUACAUCGGAACGUGCCCAGUAGUGGGGGAUAGCUCGGCGAAAGCCGGAUUAAUACCGCAUACGACCUGAGGGUGAAAGCGGGGGAUCUUCGGACAUCGCGCUAUUGGAGCGGCCGAUGGCGGAUUAGCUAGUUGGUGGGGUAAAGGCCUACCAAGGCGACGAUCUGUAGCUGGUCUGAGAGGACGACCAGCCACACUGGGACUGAGACACGGCCCAGACUCCUACGGGAGGCAGCAGUGGGGAAUUUUGGACAAUGGGCGAAAGCCUGAUCCAGCAAUGCCGCGUGUGUGAUGAAGGCCUUCGGGUUGUAAAGCACUUUUGGCGGGAACGAAAAGGACUGUGCCAAUACCACGGUUCGAUGACGGUACCCGCAGAAUAAGCACCGGCUAACUACGUG